GUGUCAGCAGCCGCGGUAAUACGAAGGGGGCUAGCGUUGCUCGGAAUUACUGGGCGUAAAGGGAGCGUAGGCGGAUAGUUUAGUCAGAGGUGAAAGCCCAGGGCUCAACCUUGGAAUUGCCUUUGAUACUGGCUAUCUUGAGUAUGGGAGAGGUGUGUGGAACUCCGAGUGUAGAGGUGAAAUUCGUAGAUAUUCGGAAGAACACCAGUGGCGAAGGCGACACACUGGCCCAUUACUGACGCUGAGGCUCGAAAGCGUGGGGAGCAAACAGGAUUAGAAACCCCUGUAGUCC
rnacentral:rRNA from 1 species